GUGGGGGAUCUUGCGCAAUGGGCGAAAGCCUGACGCAGCCAUGCCGCGUGAAUGAUGAAGGUCUUAGGAUUGUAAAAUUCUUUCACCGGGGACGAUAAUGACGGUACCCGGAGAAGAAGCCCCGGCUAACUUCGUGCCAGCAGCCGCGGUAAUACGAAGGGGGCUAGCGUUGCUCGGAAUUACUGGGCGUAAAGGGCGCGUAGGCGGACAGUUUAGUCAGAGGUGAAAGACCAGGGCUCAACCUUGGAAUUGCCUUUGAUACUGGCUGUCUUGAGUACGGGAGAGGUGAGUGGAACUCCGAGUGUAGAGGUGAAAUUCGUAGAUAUUCGGAAGAACACCAGUGGCGAAGGCGACUCACUGGCCCGUUACUGACGCUGAGGCGCGAAAGCGUGGGGAGCAAACAGGAUUAGAAACCCGGGUAGUCC
rnacentral:rRNA from 1 species